CAUGCCAUUCCCGCCACCUUGGACAACCUUCUUUCCUGCUGUGCAGCACAGCAUGAGUAUCUCAGCCCACUGACACCCCAGCAAAAAAAAGAAAAAAAAGCAUGGUCUUUCAGGAAACCCUAAGGCACUAAUGAGCUGGCAGAUCAAAACUUUGUCAGGAGCUAAUUGUAAUUUGGAGGAGACUACGUAGAGGUCUAAAAUAAUUUAAAACCUGGAGCAUGAGCUGAGAUCUAGCAAUUGCACACUGUGAAGGGUGCUGGGAACAAUGAAGAAGGACAUAGUGCUCUGGUGAGGAUGGCUGCAUGUGUGAAGACACAGUCUGAGGGUGACUGUGGAGACAGUGCUCAUACUCACGGCAUGGGAGGGGAAGGAGGACUACAUCCCAGCCUAAGGUUCAACCAACAUCAGAGAGGUAUUGCAGGGACAAGCUUCAUGCCUUCAGGAAGGUAAGCUUGGCUUUGGCACUUGUUCACAUCCAAACGGAUGCUUUUGCCAAAAUGCAGCAACACAACUGUCUGCCAUCUCGUAUACAGCCCCAUCCACAUUCCCUCUGACAGCCUGCUGAA